rnacentral:lncRNA from 1 species
GGAGCCUAGAAGAAGGUGACUCGCGCAGACAGCUUACUCCUUUUCAAUAGAAAAGAAUAGCCAAACCAACCCAGCUGGCUGGUCAAUCUCAGAGAUCUUAUCGGCCGGCAAACCGGAGACGGACGACCACGGUCCCGGCCUUACCAGCACCGGAGGUGUACUAAUCAAUGAACCCACGAAACCAACUUUCUUUUAUGACAAAAUAAACCAAGCCUAAGCGGUCACGGGACGACCACGGCCCCGGCCUUACCAGCACCGGAGGUGUACUGAUCAAUGAACCCAUGAAACCAACUUUCUUUUAUGACAAAAUAAACCAAGACUAAGCGGUCACGACAUCUUGUUGAUAUUGAUUGAGGAGUUUGAU